rnacentral:lncRNA from 1 species
AUAAAAUCAUAAAAUAUAUAAUACAAAAUCAAAACUAAAAGAAAGAAAGGAAAUAAUUAAAAAAAAAGUGUUGGACUUAAUAAAAGUUCUAAUUUGGGCCGAAGCCACUCAGCCCAACCAUAACCCAGUCAAAACCCACUCAUUCCAGCCCAAAAAACCACUCCCCACUCAGUCUAACUCUCUAUCGCCCAAAACGACGUCGUCCCAUCUCCAUUUAAUCACAACCAUUUGAUUUCCCUGAUCCAACGGCGAUGGACUAUUCUUCAACAUUGAAUAAAUAUAUCCGAAAUUGCUCAAAACCCUACAGAAAGCCUUCGUCUUCCUCGUAUCACCCAUGUCACGCCGCCGACAGAGCCGCCGUCGGCAAACACUACCUGUACCAAUGGACACCAGAUUAACACCACAACUUCUCCUCGUCUCGAUUCCCUGGUCCAUUUCCUUCAAAUCCAGCCCAGGUCGUCAAAUAAUCGAUCAAUUUUUUUCGGCCACGACACUAGUUACGCCAAAUCGUACCAAAAUUACAUUGUAGGAUCGUCACACCAUCCUCUGCACAACCUCCAUGACUGUUUGUCUCGAAUGAAGGUGGAAUGGCUCAAAUUUAGGUUUGAAACUUUUCCGGCGAACCUGGGUUUCAUCAAGCUUCACCAAAUCGGUGCCAUGGGACUUUCCUCGCAUUUCUCAUGAUAUUUCUACCAUCACUGGGGGGUCAAUUGACAACAGGACCAUCCGAAUUCCGAACCAAGAGUUAGCAGACCCCAAGCCCAUUUGUGAGUUUUUCGAUUGGUUUAAUAUUCUCUUAUUUGUUCUUAGUUUCAUAUAGGCUAAUUUCAAUUUAGUUUGGGUGGUUAGUUUUCUUUUCUCAUCAUGAAUUCUGUGGAUUUUCUUUGAUUCCAUGUCUGAUUAUGGCUUAAUUGGAUUACCAUUUGCUUGGUCGUCUUAGCUUAGUUUUGUUAUUAGCAGGUUUUAUUAGGUUCAGUUCAUUACUGGAAAUUAAUUUGAUAAUUGAUUAACUUUCUUGGGCUCGAAUCAUUCCUUGAGGUUUGUUUCAAUUCAUUGUUUACUUUGAAGAUGUUAGUUGAUUAGGUUUAGUUGAUAGUUAAUCAUAGUCAAGCGAUUAGGGCAAUGUUAGAGUCAUGUGGUAGUUUCUCAUGAAUUUAAAGGCACUAUUGGUAAUUGGUAGUUACAAGAAUAAUGUAGAAUCCCCUAGGAGCUUCUAGAUGGGGGUUUCUAAGUAAUUUGUAAAGAAUAGUAGUGUUUCCUUAUGUGACAAGUUAAUAAAUAAGGGGGUAAAAAUCAAAAUGAGGGAGGGACUAAAAGGAAAAACCAAAAUUUGAUCCCUCACUUUGGUUGCAUAAAAAUGGCAUUAUAAUUGCCUUAUGGAAGGACUUUCUUUUUUCGUGCAAAAAAAAAAAAA